rnacentral:lncRNA from 1 species
UCCUUUUGAGAGCAUUUGUGGUUAGAAGCUCCUGAUCUGUGAGGCAGUGAUAGAGGAGAACCUGGCCUUCUCUUUCCUCCUUUACCUUCUUCUUCAGGUGCUUUGCUUUUGACAGAGCUUCCUUAAGUUCAUUCGGAGGUGCAGACAGCUCUUGAGUCACCUGAACCCCCUUAGAAGUAGAGCCUUCACCCCUUUGCGGUGUCUUUUCUCUACGGUUUGCUCGG